rnacentral:rRNA from 1 species
GAUGAACGCUGGCGGCGUGCCUAAUACAUGCAAGUCGAGCGAACGGACGAGAAUCUUUCUUUUCUGAUGUUAGCGGCGGACGGUUGAGUAACACGUGGAUAACCUACCUAUAAGACUGGGAUAACUUCGCGAAACCGGAUCUAAUACCGGAUAAUAUUUUGAACCGCAUGGUUCAAAAGUGAAAGACGGUCUUGCUGUCACUUAUAGAUGGAUCCGCGCUGCAUUAGCUAGUUGGUAAGGUAACGGCUUCCCAAGGCAACGAUGCAUAGCCGACCUGAGAGGGGGUCCGGCCACACUGGAACUGAGAGACGGUCCAGAAUCCUACGGGAGGCAGCAGUAGGGAAUCUUCCGCAAUGGGCGAAAGCCUGACGGAGCAACGCCGCGUGAGUGAUGAAGGUCUUCGGAUCGUAAAACGCUGUUAUUAGGGAAGAACAUAUGUGUAAGUAACUGUGCACAUCUUGACGGUACCUAAUCAGAAAGCCACGGCUAACUACGUG